rnacentral:lncRNA from 1 species
CACUAAAUUUCUUGUAGAAAUGCUUAGAUAUACCCGAAUCAAUUGUUUGAUCUUCUUAUCACAUUACAUGGAAGCUCGAGCAGAGAAACAGAGCUCUACUCACCCAAAUUUCACACAAAUGAGCGGAAAGUAAUACCGAAAAUCCAAUAGCACAUUACAAGUCCAAACUGAUGCAAAAUUGACAAACAAAACAAGACCAAAAUCUGAGUUUGCUCCUCCAUUAGCCUCGGGAAACACUAAAUCAGACAAUGUCAAACACAAAAUUAGAAAUUCAAUCGCCAAAAUCAACCCAUAAAUCACAAUUAACACACACAUACUAACUUCAAUUCGCAACCAAUGCAAAAACUUUCAGCUUUUCCCUCGAAUUUUCCUCCAUUUUCUCAGCAACCAAACACAAUACAACACGCAAAGCAAUGAAAACAAACAGCAAUCGAAACUCACCUCGAGGCCGGUGCGGUAGGAGGAGGAGCAAGACAAGGAAGGUUUGGACGAUGCAUCUUCGUCGCCGUAGUCUGCCACCGGAAUGAGAAGUUCACGAUCGCGCUUCUCUGUCUCUGCUAGCCGGAUUAUUACGUGCAUAUAAGGACUUGAAGGAAAUGUUGUGUUUUGUUGUACCGCUAAUUAAACAGGGGGCGGAUUAAUUACUGCUUAAUCUCUCAUUGUUUCUCAAUUUUUUGGCAAUGAAAUCUUUAGAUAAGA